ensembl:lncRNA
CAGGAGGUUUGUCCUCGCCAUAGACGAGAGCUGGCGAGAGGGGCUCGCGUUGCACAGUGGGGGUUGUAGUUCAUCUCCUGGGCGAGCCUCCAAUGGAGACCAAUAGCGAACUACAAGACCCAGAUAUCGUCAGAUUCUGCCCUCCCUCUCUUCCAGCUUCUGGCCCUAGCUAGUGGGUAUUGUGCCCUCUGCUGUUGAACUCUGUGUCCUGUGAACGUUUUUCAUUAACUCGCUUCUCUACCGUUUGCCAGAUGAGUUUUAUUUUCCUGGCUAAUUGAGAUUGAGAGCUUUCAGGGACUCUAAACUCUAGGGGUGAGGAGGCGAGAAAGAGAGUUUGGGAUUCCUAUAUCAUACCAAAGCAUUUUCUGGUUUGUCCAUGACUACAGUAGAAAAGUAUUCUCUAGAUUAUGAUGCCACGGAGUCUUCAGUCUGAGGAAGCAGCUAGGUGUUCUCAAGUUUGCUCCAUGGUGCAGAGAUUAGAGGAGAUUUCAUCAGUCCCUGGAGAUCUCACUGCUUCCCUUCUGCCUCCGACCACAGCUCAGGACUCCUUCUGCUGAUGAUAAAGUACUGUGAGCCUUGGGAGGAUCACUCAUGAUUCUCGGGAUCAGAGGUCCAAAGGCAAGACACAAGCAGUUCCUGGUGACCAUUAGCAUUGCUUGGUUUGUAGCCCCAGUGUUUCCACUUCUCCCUUCUGUGUCUGUCAUCGAAGGCCUUCCCUGACUGCUUCAGGGAGACACAUGGAGUCUUUAAGGACAGUAGUCACUACAUCAGGUCCUGCCCUAAUCUUUUCUGAUUUGGGUCAUUUGCAAAGACUGAGGUUCUGUUUAGAAAUGAAUUGGAGAGAAACACUGAGCCGGUGUAAUAACUGCUCUGGGCCACUCUUCAGGAACAUCAAUCUGAAUAAAAACUUUAAUAUUUCUAGCAUGUUCAUUUAGUGUUCGGGUUGUGGGAGCAGGUGACAUUCUCAAUGAAUGUGUAUUGUUGACAUGAGCAUAGCCACCCGGGG